AGGACGAACGCUGGCGGCGUGCUUAACACAUGCAAGUCGAGCGGAAAGGCCCUUCGGGGUACUCGAGCGGCGAACGGGUGAGUAACACGUGAGCAAUCUGCCCUUAGCUUCGGGAUAGCCCCGGGAAACCGGGAUUAAUACCGAAUACGACCUCGGCCGACAUCGGCUUUGGUGGAAAGUUUUUCGGCUAGGGAUGAACUCGCGGCCUAUCAGCUUGUUGGUGGGGUAAUGGCCUACCAAGGCGACGACGGGUAGCCGGCCUGAGAGGGCGACCGGCCACACUGGGACUGAGACACGGCCCAGACUCCUACUGGAGGCAGCAGUGGGGAAUAUUGCGCAAUGGGCGAAAGCCUGACGCAGCGACGCCGCGUGGGGGAUGAAGGCCUUCGGGUUGUAAACCCCUUUCAGCAUGGACGAGCGAGAGUGACGGUACCUGCAGAAGAAGCGCCGGCUAACUACGUGCCAGCAGCCGC
rnacentral:rRNA from 1 species